rnacentral:rRNA from 1 species
UACGUAGGUGGCAAGCGUUGUCCGGAUUUACUGGGCGUAAAGAGCGCGCAGGCGGUUCAUCAAGUCGAAUGUGAAAGCCCCCGGCUCAACUGGGGAGGGUCAUUCGAUACUGCUGGACUUGAAGGCAGGAGAGGGAAGUGGAAUUCCCGGUGAGUGGUGAAAUGCGUAGAUAUCGGAAGGAACACCAGUGGCGAAAGCGGCUUUCCUGGUGCCA